rnacentral:rRNA from 1 species
UACAGAGGGGGCAAGCGUUGUUCGGAAUUACUGGGCGUAAAGGGCGCGUAGGUGGCCUUCUAAGUUGAACGUGAAAUCCCUGGGCUCAACCCAGGAACUGCGUCCAAGACUGGGAGGCUUGAAUCCGGGAGAGGGAUGCGGAAUUCCAGGUGUAGCGGUGAAAUGCGUAGAUAUCUGGAGGAACAUCAGUGGCGAAGGCGGCCAUCUGGGACAACACUGACGCUGAAGCACGAAAGCGUGGGGAGCAAACAGG